ensembl:lncRNA
AUGAAGUGUUCCCGUUACUGUGGCAACAGAACCCUUGAUUGCCGGUGGCACCGAAAACAUUCUCCGCUCAGAAUGUCUAAGUGGAUUCUUAUUGCCCCUCUGGCCACAGCACGCAUGACCACUGGUCCACCCUUUCAAGCUGUAUGUUUCUUUUCUAUUACUGCAUCAACCAUUGACUCCUUCACAGACGGACUAGUUUGCUGCUCCCCACACUCUCCAGACUGCCUCUGGCUCUUUGUGAAACCCACUCCAUCUUCUGUGGGAAAACCUGGCUCUCUCUAAUACGAGGCUUACUUCAUUCCCAUCCUUCAAAAACCAAGCUCCCAGUGUGGCUUCUCCAAGAAACCAAGCCUCUCACAGAAGACUUCACUGGACCCUUGGAUUUCCUCAUUGUGUGGCAUUAGAGUUGCCUCCUGUCUUGUAUAUGUUUAGCCAGAUAGUGUAGGUAUUGUCCAUGCACAUACCUUAUUUGACCUCAACUGGAAGGUCUGUAAGGGUAGGGACCACGCCUUUUAUUGUAUUAUAUUGUUCUGUCCUAUUCUCCACCCAUUGCAUCUUGUGUUUAAUAGUCUGUUUUACUGAACCAAUGUUAGUGGCAACUUCAAUAUGUUAUGAACAAAUGAGACAAUGCUUAUGUUCUUAAAACUUGUGAACUAUGGCAAGCAACCCAAAUGUGGUUAAUUUUAUUACAGCCAAAUGUAAUUUUCUUCUUCUGGUGGAGUCUUUUAGCGGCCGAUAUUAAUUAAUGUGGUUAAUGGAAAACACUUGAUAUAUUAAACUCUCUUACUAAUAAUUAAAAUAGCAAAAAAUGAAGUAAAAUUGAUGCAAGAAGAAUUAUUGAGAUUUACCUAAAUACCCCAGGAGGACACAAGAUUAACUGAAAAUUUAUUUUUAUUUUCAAAUAUGACAAAUUUUAUUUAUAGAAUAUAAAUUUUGUGGUUUCCUUAGAGGGUUUUUUUUUUGGUAGGAAUGAAUGUAUUAAACAAAUUAAGAAUGCUACUUACAUAAGAUUUUAUUGUUUUAGGGAAAAACAUGUUAUUUCAAUGAAAUUAAAUGAAAAAAACAUUAAGUGUUUACUAAAUCAUUCUCAAAAGUAUUCAGACUAAGUAAUAAGGGUGUAUUGGACUCAGUAUGGAUUUAAGUCACUGUAAUCUAAUAAGCAUACUUCAAAUCUUAGUUAAAAGCAGAAAUUCUAUCACCCUGAACAAUUAGUGGCUACAAUUUUAAUUGGAUAUCUUAGAAUCUCACCUUUCCCUUCCACCUUAAAUCUUUACCACUUAUCUUUGACUGCCACUUUCAGGGGCAUUUUAGAAGAUCUAUCUUUUGGUCUUUAAGUGCUAAAAAGGAAAGUGAGAUCUGUAAGGUGUGUGCUAGGGCAAGAACCUUGGCUGCUGCUGGGGCUCUUAUGUUGGCAUUCUUUCUGCUGGGAAAUUCCCACAACACUUCCCCUAGAUUUCCACUGCCACUCAGUGCUUUGGGAAAGUGACCUUCCUGGGCAAAAGCAGAGGCAAGGGUGUGGAGGGGAGUUGGUUAGACAUUCCGUCUGUAAUCCCAACAGUAUGAUUUUAUAUGCUAGGAGGGGGAAAAGGGGAAGAGAAUUAAUUCAAUAUAAUAAAAGAAUGUCCCUUUUCA